UUUCUCGGCUGUAAAGAAGAGUUAUUCUUUGAAUGCUCCUAGAAUCAUUGAAGAAAUCGAUUCUUCAGAAACUAUGGAAUUCGGAAAACGAUUAUUUCAUAUGCUGACUUUAUAGCGAUCGUUUUGCUUCAUCUUACGAAUAAAAGAGUUUCCGGGGCCAGCAGGAAACCGCGUCUUCGCUCUCCAGGAUGA